CUGUAUUAUUGUUCCAUCUGAUUAGUCUUCUUCCACCAAGCUCAGCUUCUUUCGAAUCUCUCUUUUGCUGAAACUAAUGGCAACUUGGAUGGCUGCUGCUCGUGCAGCUAUAGGCCGCACAAGUAAUUAUCAAAUAUCUCGUCAAAUGUUAUCUUCAUCGGGGAAUCGAAAUUCCAAAACUAAUCCACCGACGAGGUCUAGCUACCGGUCCAGAUCAUCAGGUAUCCCCAAAGGUGGAUCUGAAGCAGGAAGGCAAAGCUAAUAAAGAAGGUUAUUAUGUCGUAUACACCGGCCUGUAUUUUAUUCAUUACUACAUAUAUCUAGCAAUUAUCGACUAUGGAAGUGACGAGGAGAGGGAUGAGAAAGUGGUUAGAUACCUCGAUGAUAAAGUCCCGGCAAGUUAAAAUGGUUUCCGGCAACAGAACGCUCAAAAUUCAACCAUCUGAAGAUGCAUCAAUUCAUGAGUUUCACUCUUAUCAUCUGUUGUUGUUCAAAACUUUCACCUGCUUCGUUGUAAGAUUUGUUUUUAAUAAAAAUCAACCGAUUAGAUUACUCGGUAGCUACUU